AUCCAGACAGGUGGUGCAUGGUUGUCGUCAGCUCGUGUCGUGAGAUGUUGGGUUAAGUCCCGCAACGGGCGCAACCCUUGUAUUCAGUUGCUACGCAAGAGCACUCUGGAUAGACUGCCGUUGACAAAACGGAGGAAGGUGGGGAUGACGUCAAAUCAUCAUGCCCCUUACGACCUGGGCCACACACGUACUACAAUGGCGCACAGCAGAGGGAAGCAAGACAGCGAUGUGGAGCAAACCCCUAAAAUGCGUCCCAGUUCAGAUUGCAGGCUGCAACCCGCCUGCAUGAAGUCGGAAUUGCUAGUAAUCGCGGAUCAGCAUGCCGCGGUGAAUACGUUCCCGGGUCUUGUACACACCGCCCGUCACACCAUGGGAGCCGGUAACACCCGAAGUCAGUAGCCUGACCGCAAGGAGGGCGCUGCCGAAGGUGGGAUUGGUGACUGGGGUGAAGUCGUAACAAGGUAGCCGUAUCGGAAGGUGCGGUUGGAUCACCUC
rnacentral:rRNA from 1 species